GACGAACCGAGCGAACGUUGUUCGGAAUCACUGGGCUUAAAGGGCGCGUAGGCGGGUGCUCAAGUCUGUGGUGAAAUCCUCCGGCUCAACCGGAGAACUGCCAUGGAUACUGGGUGCCUCGAGGGUGGUAGGGGUAUGCGGAACUAUCGGUGGAGCGGUGAAAUGCGUUGAUAUCGAUAGGAACUCCGGUGGCGAAGGCGGCAUACUGGACCACUUCUGACGCUGAGGCGCGAAAGCCAGGGGAGCAAACGGG
rnacentral:rRNA from 1 species